rnacentral:lncRNA from 11 species
CAAACAUCUGGGGACCCACAAGUUGAGAACCACUGUCUUAAAGGAAGAAAGAACAGGUUUGUAAUCUUGCUGAUCCACCUGUGGCCAUGUGUGCUUCAUUGCAAUAUAUGAGAGAAACAGCAGCUGUUUUGGAAUCCCUUACAAGAAUAAUAAAACUGAGAGAGAAGGACAGCAUCCGGGUCUGAACCAGUAAGGAGGGGCUGAGUCCUUAGGAAACAUAGCUCUAAAACUGGAGUUUAUACAUUGAGCUGCAUCUCAGUUAAUAAAGUACCGUAGGUAUAUUCUUGGGUAUUACUUCUUUAACAGAGGUUUUGGUGCCAGAGGCAAAAAUAGCAUGGAGAGAAUAGGGAUUGGUUCCUACAUCAUAGAAAAGUAAGAGCAACUUGAACAUGCUUCAGUGGAUUUUUAAUUUGGAAUUUAAGAUAUGCACAUGUGAAAUGAAAGGAGGUCAGGAUAUUGAUGCAGGAAAUCUGGGGACAAACUGCCUGAAAGGAGGAAUUAUUCUCUACUUAAAGAAUCAUUCCAGAGAUGAUUUUCAGUACACUGGCAUCAGUCUACACACACAAGGAUAUGAAAGUGUAUGUUACUGCCUGAGGAAACAAGUUUAAGCUUACUGAUGUUUCUGAAGACCUUUGAAGUUGAUGAGCCGACAGGAAGCACAAGACACACAGUUACAGCAUAUUUCUACUUCCAAACUCAUCCAUCUCCCCCAUCAAAAUCCUUUAUAGCACUAUACAAAAUAUAUUGCAGUUGCAUAUGGACACAUGCUUAUUUAGAUGCUAUUGUAUAUAUUUCUUACUAUGGAAGCAGAAAGAGAAAAAGUGUACUCAGGAAUCCAGUGAUGUGGCAGUGCUGGAGGGACAAUGUUAUGACCCCACAACAUAGAUGCCAAGAAAACAUAUUUUGAAGAUACAUCAUAUGGCUUUUAAUCAAUUGGCUUGCUGUUUCCCUCUCCUUUCAUUCAUGAAAAGGUAUCACACUUGUAUAUAUUUUUUGAUGCAUGAAGGUAUAAAAACAUGAAUAAGGAAAUGUUUGGUGAAAACAGAAAGUGAACAAGGGAUAUUUGCAAUGUCCUUCAGCUAUCAAAUUCUCCAUCAAGCUGAAAUAACCUGAGGCCUAUUUCUGGUGGUUAUCUUCAGAAUACAGAAUGGCCAUCUGUCUUACUCUAUAGAGGAUUUCUGUUAUUUGAAGAGUGUCCUUUGUUUUGAGUAUUAUCCAUUCUAAAGACUAUGGAUUGUAUUUGACCGCACACCUGUGCCUUUAUGAAAUAGUUAUUCUUUUUGGUAAGGCAUAACUAGCAAUCCUACUGGCCAACAACCAAUAGUUUUUACUUCUAAAAUUGUUGAGAUUUCAAGCUGACAAGGAAGACAAACUCUGUAGGUGGCUUCCACAGCUUUCAUCAAUAUUCAUCAGCCUCUUCAAUAUAUGAAACCAACUUUCUGGAAAUAUUCAAUCUCCCAAAGAAACAGUGAUAUGAAGCAGUGAAAAUUGGAUAAAAUGAACACUAGGCUCAACUUACCAUUCCUUCAUUGAGCUCACCUGGUGAUUUUUGGCUAGCCACUAUCUUUGAUUGAAAUUUCCUCAUGGCAUUGUUGUGAGAUAAAAUCAGUCAUGCUAAUAUUAAGGAAAAGGAUUUCAUUUUUUACACUUAUACCUUUUCCUGAUGCUCUUUACUGUGUUUUAAUUGUAAAAUAGUGCAAAACAUUAUUUGAGAAACUAAAUGUAAUAUUCAUUAAAUCAUUACACUGGCCAACACACAUUUUGGUGUCUCAGUUGUUAAUCAUGCUUCUGGGUAUUUUUGACCUGCUGAUUCCAAAAAUGGUACCAGUUUUUGCCCAUAAGCUCUAGUUUUUGAGAUACAGAACAUACACCAUCUACCAGUCACCAUCUGCUCACCCAUCAAAAACAAUGAUAAUCAUAUCUAACAAACUAGAGCUUAUGCUGUUGAUCCAACACAAUUUUCUGAAUCAGUGUCCCAAAUAACCUCAGUAAAAGGCUUAAAAAUCAAGACAAGAAACAAUUAAGGGAGGGGUACUGGGUUAUACUAUCCAUUUAUUUCAUUAUGCAUGUGUGACAAUGUUCAUAGUUCCCAUAUGAAGUGGCUCAUACUUCUCUGUUGGCUACUCUUUUUUCUCUUAAUAUAACUUCUUGAUUAAAAAAAGCCUUGUUUUCUGCCAUAUGUAUCACAAA